rnacentral:rRNA from 1 species
GAACGAGAAAGUGGAGCAAUCCAUGAGUAAAGUGGCGCACGGGUGAGUAACACGUGACUACCUACCCUUGAGUGGGGGAUAACCUAGGGAAACCUGGGCUAAUACCGCAUAAUACCUACGGGUCAAAGGAGCAAUUCGCUUAAGGAGGGGGUCGCGGCCGAUUAGUUAGUUGGCGGGGUAAUGGCCCACCAAGACGAUGAUCGGUAUCCGGCCUGAGAGGGCGCACGGACACACUGGAACUGAAACACGGUCCAGACUCCUACGGGAGGCAGCAGUGGGGAAUUUUGCACAAUGGGGGAAACCCUGACGCAGCAACGCCGCGUGGAGGAUGAAGUCCCUUGGGACGUAAACUCCUUUCGAUCGGGACGAUUAUGACGGUACCGGAAGAAGAAGCCCCGGCUAACUUCGUGCCAGCAGCCGCGGUAAUACGAGGGGGGCGAGCGUUGCUCGGAAUUAUUGGGCGUAAAGGGUGCGUAGGCGGUUUGGCAAGUCUUAUGUGAAAUCUAUGGGCUCAACCCAUAGUCUGCAUGAGAAACUGCCGGGCUUGAGUAUGGGAGAGGUGAGUGGAAUUUCCGGUGUAGCGGUGAAAUGCGUAGAUAUCGGAAGGAACACCUGUGGCGAAAGCGGCUCACUGGACCAUAACUGACGCUGAGGCACGAAAGCUAGGGGA